UUGCUCAUCUUGGUGUUUUUCUUCCAGGUAGUAAAAAUCCAGUUGGAAUUUAAGCGCUCAGCGUUUUCCUUCCUGAGCUGCCUGAAUCUCAGAAUAAGAGCCUUGAGCACUGUGAAGUGAAGCUCCCAUGAAUAAUUCUGGCAAAAUUUUACUGCCAAAUAAGACAGUCAACCAACUCUGCGUAGACAAGAAUGAUGGCCCACAGCCUGUGUCAGCCACUGCUGCCCUCGGUCUCUUGCCCCCAGGAAGUUCCAUUGGAACCUUUGUAGUGUCAAAGUAUAAUUUCCAGAAAGGUGAAAACCUAACUCUCAUAGAAAUGUAGAAUGAACUUGUGUCAAAGAUUUCUUCAACUCGUUAAUGAAGAAGCCAGUAAGAUGGAAAAGCUGGCUCACAGAGGAUUUGAGGAACUGAGUAUUUAUUUACAAACAUUUAAAAAAAUGUUAGAAUAAAUUGCUAGGUUGGAUAUGCAUUAAUGCCCUACAGGGCAAAUAAAACCAAAAAUUCUGGGUUAUUUUAUGUGCUAGGCAGAAAUCAUUAGUGUUUCUCCUGGACAGAAAUCUCUAUCAGAGGAUAGAAUUAAUGGACGGCAAAGUCAAACACAGGCAUGUUCUCCUAGAUAAUUGAAUAUUCUUUUCGCAGGCUUAUUAAGGCAUGCCCUAGUAUGACAUUGAAAAGACAUGACUUCUCUUUGCCUUAUCUUUCACGUUUUGGCUAAUGUAUCUGAAUAGUAGCUCUUUGAAAUACUGGUGAUGGUGUCUGGAACUUAUCUCUGAGCUGCAAACACUGUUAAAUAAGUGCUUCUGGACAUGAAUACACACACACACACACACACACACACACACACCAUAAUUAUAUAUAUUACAUAUAUAUACCAUACCAUAUAUAUACUAUAAUUAGAGAUAUAGCAUACAUAUAUACCAUAAUUGAACAAAACAAACAGCAUGUUGCAGGAAGGCUCUGGCUUAGAAAGGAGGAGACCAAGUGGGAGGUAUAGGGAAUUCAUGGCAUUUUGUGUCAUCGAACUUCAUAUUAUUUACUUUGGGCUCAAAAAGAAUUUUGGCUCAGAUCAGGUUGAAAAAGGAAAACAGAACGAAGAAACACGUUGCUUGAAUUCUGGUUCAGCCGUUGACUAAACAUACGACUUGGGCAAAGUCACAUCAGAUUGCUGUAGGUGGCAGCUGUCUCCAAAGAUGGCCCCCAGUGAACUCUGCCUCUACUUAACAUCUUUGUGCAGUCCCCUCCCAGUGUGACCAGGAAUGGUGCUGUGGCGCCCUUUUAACCAAUAGAAUGUGGGAGAAGUGAUACUACCUAAGCUGCGCUAGAUGGCCAGGCAGCUUCUGCUUCUGUGGUCUUGGAAGCCAGUCCGGAUGCAAGAAGUCUGAGUGUCCUGCUGGGGACAGAAGCCACGCAAAGGGAGUCGGAGGGCCAGGCGCCACAUGAAGAGUGAGGCGUCACUGAGGAGCUUUUAGGUAACGGGCACGAGAUGGACGAUACCAGAUUGGAAGCGCCAGCCCACUCGAGCUUCAGAAGACACCAGACUCGCUCAUCACAUGAUGGCAACCACGUGAGAGACCCCGAAACAAAUACAACAGAGAAGAAAUGCCGGGAUGCUAUGGAAAUGCAGAGGAUUUGGGGACAAACUUCUAUGGUGGUGCUAAAUGCCUUACAAACAAGCAAACAAAAAGCCAUUAAAGAAUUUGUGAGAUGUUAUUGCCAAGCAAAGGCAGACUGUGUGAGAGGCACACAAGAGUGAAGUUGAGGCUCAUGAGAAAAGUAGGGUUUGGGGGGAAAAGUAAGUUUAAUUGUAAUGAUGGAAAUUUGUGGUAUAUCCUCUUAAAAGGAGCUAUGGAUGCACAGUUUCUUGAGUUAUUGUAAGGUUGUAUGAAUCGCUGGAGAAUAUGCCUUUGAGGAGAAUUCUGAGCAAUGCUUCGUGAGAAAAGGGACACCCCGGAGGACCAGAUAGGUCUUUUGCAUGUCUGUGUGGAUGGUUUUAUGGCCCCAGAACUGGGAGUGCAGAGCAAAUCUGAAAAAGGAAGAGUCAUUUGAGAUUUACGAUAGCAACAAAAAUAUUUGUCUUCUAAGGAAACCUGGUUGGAAAUCAAGGUUUACAGGAUUUUAAACAGAAACAUACUUUAUUUAAAAAAAUUACAAUAAUCUCACGAUUGUUUUAAAAUAUUUGAGCCGACCCUAAAAUAAACCAUACUUCCGUAAA